ACUCAAAGGAAUAGACGGGGGCCCGCACAAGCGGUGGAUUAUGUGGAUUAAUUCGAUGCAACGCGAAAAACCUUACCUACCCUUGACAUGUGCGGAACCUGGGGGAGACCCUGGGGUGCCCGAAAGGGAACCGCAACACAGGUGCUGCAUGGCUGUCGUCAGCUCGUGUCGUGAGAUGUUGGGUUAAGUCCCGCAACGAGCGCAACCCUUGCCAGUAAUUGCCAUCAUUGGGUUGGGCACUUUACUGGGACUGCCGGUGACAAACCGGAGGAAGGUGGGGAUGACGUCAAGUCCUCAUGGCCCUUAUGGGUAGGGCUUCACACGUAAUACAAUGGCGCGUACAGAGGGUUGCCAACCGGCGACGGGGAGCCAAUCCCAGAAAGCGCGUCGUAGUCCGGAUUGCAGUCUGCAACUCGACUGCAUGAAGUCGGAAUCGCUAGUAAUCGCGGAUCAGCAUGUCGCGGUGAAUACGUUCCCGGGCCUUGUACACACCGCCCGU
rnacentral:rRNA from 1 species